rnacentral:rRNA from 2 species
GGGUUGUGAGGUUAAGCGACUAAGCGUACACGGUGGAUGCCCUGGCAGUCAGAGGCGAUGAAGGACGUGCUAAUCUGCGAUAAGCGUCGGUAAGGUGAUAUGAACCGUUAUAACCGGCGAUUUCCGAAUGGGGAAACCCAGUGUGUUUCGACACACUAUCAUUAACUGAAUCCAUAGGUUAAUGAGGCGAACCGGGGGAACUGAAACAUCUAAGUACCCCGAGGAAAAGAAAUCAACCGAGAUUCCCCCAGUAGCGGCGAGCGAACGGGGAGCAGCCCAGAGCCUGAAUCAGUGUGUGUGUUAGUGGAAGCGUCUGGAAAGGCGCGCGAUACAGGGUGACAGCCCCGUACACAAAAAUGCACAUGCUGUGAGCUCGAUGAGUAGGGCGGGACACGUGGUAUCCUGUCUGAAUAUGGGGGGACCAUCCUCCAAGGCUAAAUACUCCUGACUGACCGAUAGUGAACCAGUACCGUGAGGGAAAGGCGAAAAGAACCCCGGCGAGGGGAGUGAAAAAGAACCUGAAACCGUGUACGUACAAGCAGUGGGAGCCUCUUUAUGGGGUGACUGCGUACCUUUUGUAUAAUGGGUCAGCGACUUAUAUUCUGUAGCAAGGUUAACCGAAUAGGGGAGCCGAAGGGAAACCGAGUCUUAACUGGGCGUUAAGUUGCAGGGUAUAGACCCGAAACCCGGUGAUCUAGCCAUGGGCAGGUUGAAGGUUGGGUAACACUAACUGGAGGACCGAACCGACUAAUGUUGAAAAAUUAGCGGAUGACUUGUGGCUGGGGGUGAAAGGCCAAUCAAACCGGGAGAUAGCUGGUUCUCCCCGAAAGCUAUUUAGGUAGCGCCUCGUGAAUUCAUCUCCGGGGGUAGAGCACUGUUUCGGCAAGGGGGUCAUCCCGACUUACCAACCCGAUGCAAACUGCGAAUACCGGAGAAUGUUAUCACGGGAGACACACGGCGGGUGCUAACGUCCGUCGUGAAGAGGGAAACAACCCAGACCGCCAGCUAAGGUCCCAAAGUCAUGGUUAAGUGGGAAACGAUGUGGGAAGGCCCAGACAGCCAGGAUGUUGGCUUAGAAGCAGCCAUCAUUUAAAGAAAGCGUAAUAGCUCACUGGUCGAGUCGGCCUGCGCGGAAGAUGUAACGGGGCUAAACCAUGCACCGAAGCUGCGGCAGCGACGCUUAUGCGUUGUUGGGUAGGGGAGCGUUCUGUAAGCCUGUGAAGGUGUGCUGUGAGGCAUGCUGGAGGUAUCAGAAGUGCGAAUGCUGACAUAAGUAACGAUAAAGCGGGUGAAAAGCCCGCUCGCCGGAAGACCAAGGGUUCCUGUCCAACGUUAAUCGGGGCAGGGUGAGUCGACCCCUAAGGCGAGGCCGAAAGGCGUAGUCGAUGGGAAACAGGUUAAUAUUCCUGUACUUGGUGUUACUGCGAAGGGGGGACGGAGAAGGCUAUGUUGGCCGGGCGACGGUUGUCCCGGUUUAAGCGUGUAGGCUGGUUUUCCAGGCAAAUCCGGAAAAUCAAGGCUGAGGCGUGAUGACGAGGCACUACGGUGCUGAAGCAACAAAUGCCCUGCUUCCAGGAAAAGCCUCUAAGCAUCAGGUAACAUCAAAUCGUACCCCAAACCGACACAGGUGGUCAGGUAGAGAAUACCAAGGCGCUUGAGAGAACUCGGGUGAAGGAACUAGGCAAAAUGGUGCCGUAACUUCGGGAGAAGGCACGCUGAUAUGUAGGUGAAGUCCCUCGCGGAUGGAGCUGAAAUCAGUCGAAGAUACCAGCUGGCUGCAACUGUUUAUUAAAAACACAGCACUGUGCAAACACGAAAGUGGACGUAUACGGUGUGACGCCUGCCCGGUGCCGGAAGGUUAAUUGAUGGGGUCAGCGCAAGCGAAGCUCUUGAUCGAAGCCCCGGUAAACGGCGGCCGUAACUAUAACGGUCCUAAGGUAGCGAAAUUCCUUGUCGGGUAAGUUCCGACCUGCACGAAUGGCGUAAUGAUGGCCAGGCUGUCUCCACCCGAGACUCAGUGAAAUUGAACUCGCUGUGAAGAUGCAGUGUACCCGCGGCAAGACGGAAAGACCCCGUGAACCUUUACUAUAGCUUGACACUGAACAUUGAGCCUUGAUGUGUAGGAUAGGUGGGAGGCUUUGAAGUGUGGACGCCAGUCUGCAUGGAGCCGACCUUGAAAUACCACCCUUUAAUGUUUGAUGUUCUAACGUUGACCCGUAAUCCGGGUUGCGGACAGUGUCUGGUGGGUAGUUUGACUGGGGCGGUCUCCUCCUAAAGAGUAACGGAGGAGCACGAAGGUUGGCUAAUCCUGGUCGGACAUCAGGAGGUUAGUGCAAUGGCAUAAGCCAGCUUGACUGCGAGCGUGACGGCGCGAGCAGGUGCGAAAGCAGGUCAUAGUGAUCCGGUGGUUCUGAAUGGAAGGGCCAUCGCUCAACGGAUAAAAGGUACUCCGGGGAUAACAGGCUGAUACCGCCCAAGAGUUCAUAUCGACGGCGGUGUUUGGCACCUCGAUGUCGGCUCAUCACAUCCUGGGGCUGAAGUAGGUCCCAAGGGUAUGGCUGUUCGCCAUUUAAAGUGGUACGCGAGCUGGGUUUAGAACGUCGUGAGACAGUUCGGUCCCUAUCUGCCGUGGGCGCUGGAGAACUGAGGGGGGCUGCUCCUAGUACGAGAGGACCGGAGUGGACGCAUCACUGGUGUUCGGGUUGUCAUGCCAAUGGCACUGCCCGGUAGCUAAAUGCGGAAGAGAUAAGUGCUGAAAGCAUCUAAGCACGAAACUUGCCCCGAGAUGAGUUCUCCCUGACUCCUUGAGAGUCCUGAAGGAACGUUGAAGACGACGACGUUGAUAGGCCGGGUGUGUAAGCGCAGCGAUGCGUUGAGCUAACCGGUACUAAUGAACCGUGAGGCUUAACCUUACAACGCCGAAGGUGUUU